GACGAACGCUGGCGGCGUGCUUAACACAUGCAAGUCGAACGGAAAGGCCCUGCUUUUGUGGGGUGCUCGAGUGGCGAACGGGUGAGUAACACGUGAGUAACCUGCCCUUGACUUUGGGAUAACUUCAGGAAACUGGGGCUAAUACCGGAUAGGAGCUCCUGCUGCAUGGUGGGGGUUGGAAAGUUUCGGCGGUUGGGGAUGGACUCGCGGCUUAUCAGCUUGUUGGUGGGGUAGUGGCUUACCAAGGCUUUGACGGGUAGCCGGCCUGAGAGGGUGACCGGCCACAAUGGGACUGAGGUAAGGCCCAGACUCCUACGGGGGGCAACAGGGGGGAAUAUUGCACAAUGGGCGGAAGCCUGAUGCAGCAACGCCGCGUGCGGGAUGACGGCCUUCGGGUUGUAAACCGCUUUCGCCUGGGAAGGAGCGUGAGGGAAGGUAAUUGGUAAAGAAGCACCGGCUAACUACGUG
rnacentral:rRNA from 1 species